rnacentral:tRNA from 1 species
GGGGGUAUAGCUCAGUUGGUAGAGCGCUGCCUUUGCAAGGCAGAUGUCAGGAGUUCGAAUCUCCUUACCUCCA